rnacentral:rRNA from 1 species
CUCUGUAGCAAUACAGAGGCUGGCGACCGGCAAACGGGUGCGGAACACGUACACAACCUUCCUUUAAGUGGGGAAUAGCCCGGGGAAACCCGGAUUAAUACCCCGUAAUAUAAUGAAGUGGCAUCACUUUAUUAUUAUAGCAGCAAUGCGCUUAUAGAUGGGUGUGCGACUGAUUAGGCAGUUGGCGGGGUAACGGCCCACCAAACCUACGAUCAGUAACUGGUGUGAGAGCACGACCAGUCACACGGGCACUGAGACACGGGCCCGACUCCUACGGGAGGCAGCAGUAAGGAAUAUUGGUCAAUGGACGCAAGUCUGAACCAGCCAUGCCGCGUGGAGGAUGAAGGUCCUCUGGAUUGUAAACUUCUUUUAUCUGGGAAGAAAUCCACGAAUUCUUUUGUGGUUGACGGUACCAGAUGAAUAAGCACCGGCUAACUCCGUGCCAGCAGCCGCGGUAAUACGGAGGGUGCAAGCGUUAUCCGGAUUCACUGGGUUUAAAGGGUGCGUAGGUGGGCAGGUAAGUCAGUGGUGAAAUCUCCGGGCUUAACUCGGAAACUGCCAUUGAUACUAUCUGUCUUGAAUACCGUGGAGGUCAGCGGAAUAUGUCAUGUAGCGGUGAAAUGCUUAGAUAUGACAUAGAACACCAAUUGCGAAGGCAGCUGGCUACACGAAUAUUGACACUGAUGCACGAAAGCGUGGGGAUCAAACAGGAUUAGAUACCCUGGUAGUCCACGCCCUAAACGAUGGAUACUCGACAUACGCGAUAUACUGUGUGUGUCUGAGCGAAAGCAUUAAGUAUCCCACCUGGGAAGUACGAUCGCAAGAUUGAAACUC